rnacentral:piRNA from 1 species
CACGGUGGUUGGUAAUGGAAUAA